rnacentral:rRNA from 1 species
GACGAACGCUGGCGGCGUGCCUAAUACAUGCAAGUCGAACGCAUUUUCUUUCACCGUAGCUUGCUACACCGAAAGAAAGUGAGUGGCGAACGGGUGAGUAACACGUGGGUAACCUGCCCAUCAGCGGGGGAUAACACUUGGAAACAGGUGCUAAUACCGCAUAAUUCCAUUUACCGCAUGGUAGAUGGAUGAAAGGCGCUUUUGCGUCACUGAUGGAUGGACCCGCGGUGCAUUAGCUAGUUGGUGGGGUAACGGCCUACCAAGGCUGCGAUGCAUAGCCGACCUGAGAGGGUGAUCGGCCACACUGGGACUGAGACACGGCCCAGACUCCUACGGGAGGCAGCAGUAGGGAAUCUUCGGCAAUAGACGCAAGUCUGACCGAGCAACGCCGCGUGAGUGAAGAAGGUUUUCGGAUUGUAAAACUCUGUUGUUAGAGAAGAACAAGGAUGAGAGUGGAAAGUUCAUCCCUUGACGGUAUCUAACCAGAAAGCCACGGCUAACUACGUG